rnacentral:misc_RNA from 1 species
UUUCCGUAGGUGAACCUGCGGAAGAUCAUUAAAAAUAUACUUGAUUGAAGUGAUUUAAUAAUCAUCCUACCCUUGUGAUUGUUGUUUGAAUAAUUUUUUUGAUUUUAAAAAAAAAUUAUUUAUGGUUUUGUCUAUCCCUAAAUUGGUUGUUGUUGAAGACAGUGAAUCAUUUAGGGAAUAGGCUUUCAUAAAUAAGUUUUUUUAAAGUCUUAAAGACCUUUUUUAAAAUUAAACUUUUGUAUUCAUUUGUCUAAUUUUUUUUAAAUAAUUUAAAAACAACUUUUGAAAUGGAUCUCUUGGUCUCGCAACGAUGAAGAACGCAGCAAAAUGCGAUAAGUAUAGUGAAUUGCAGAAUACGUGAAUCAUCAAAUUUCGAACGCAUAUUGCACUUUUUUAGUUUACUAAAAAGUAUGUCUGUUGAGUAUCAGUAAAAUAUUCUCAUAAAACAUUUUGUUUUUAUGUUAUGAGUGUUUACAACGAUAAACAAGUUGUUUCACUUUAAAUUCAUUUAAUUUAAGACCAUUUUGGUUUUAAUAAAAAUUGGAUAAAAUUUUCCCGUAAAAGGAAUAAACUUUCAGUUUUUAAUUAUUACCAACAAACGGUCCGAUUUUAAAGGAAAUUUAUUUAAAUAACUUGAUCUCAAUCAGAUAAGAGUACCGCUGAACUUAAGCAUAUCAAUAAGCGGAGAAAAGAAACUAACAAGGAUUCCUUAGUAACGGCGAGUGAAGCGGAAGAGCUCAAAUUGAAAUCUUCAAGUUUUACCUUGACGAAUUGUAGUUUAAAGAAGUGUUUUCUGUUGAGUUAGGUAAAAGUUCUUGGAAUGGACAUCAUAGAGGUGAGAUCCGUAUUGUAUUAUUCUAGCUUUGUGAUACACUUUCAAAGAGUCGGAUUGUUUGGGAAUGCAGUCCAAAAUGGGUGGUAAAUUUCAUCUAAAGCUAAAUAUUGGCGAGAGACCGAUAGCGAACAAGUACCGUGAGGGAAGAUGAAAAGAACUUUGAAAGAGAGUUAAACAGUACGUGAAAUUGUCAAAAGGGAAGCGUUUGACACCAGUGUUGUUUUUCCGAAAAUCAAUUACGAAUGGCUUGAUUUUGUGUAUUGACCUUAUCAGCUUUCUGCACUUUUUCGAGUCUUUCUUAAUGCACUUUUCGGUUACAAGUCAACAUCAAUUUCUUUGUUGUAAAGAGUAUUCGGAAGGUGGCUUUCUUUCGGAGAAGUGUUUAUAGCCUAUACUUCUACAAUGGAGAGAUGAGGUCUGCAGCGUAGAUCUUCGGGUUAGAUCAUUUGCUAAGUUGUAGCUUUUCAUAGACACUUGUUGACUAUGUUUAGUCAUGCGCUUACUCGCUUAUGCUAUUUUACCUACGCUUAGGAUGUUG